GAGCAGAGAGAAAGUGAAUACCCUAAGCGAAUUAGAAAUCUGGAAAGAACCGAAAUAGAGGCAGUGUCUGAUGACACUUUACUUGAGGAGUCACCUGCUGAACUGCUGAUCACCUCUAUAGAUUCCUCCAGCUAACCAGACCUGACUUCAUCAGACAGUUAUGAUGGUUAACUGUUUGUUAUGAUGGUUAACUCAGUCUUCUACCUGAAUACCCCAAGAUAUUGAUCAAGUCAACAACAUUGAACCUCAGAACACAGGAAAUCUUGGACAAACUGGGAGACAGCUUGUCAGUAUCUAAGUCCGGCUCACCUCUUCAUCCUGCCUGCUUCCAUGUCAUUGGGAAAGUUAGAAGUGCAGAACUUCAGGUAUCAUCCAAG